rnacentral:rRNA from 1 species
UGAGGAAUAUUGGUCAAUGGGAGAGAUCCUGAACCAGCCAAGCCGCGUGAGGGAAGACGGCCCUAUGGGUUGUAAACCUCUUUUGUCGGAGAACAAAACCCGGGACGUAUCCCGGACUGCGUGUAUCCGAAGAAAAAGCAUCGGCUAACUCCGUGCC